rnacentral:rRNA from 1 species
GGAGUGAAAGAGAACCUGAAACCCUGUGUCUACAAGCUGUGGGACCUCUUUAUAUGAGGGACUGCGUACUUUUUGUAGAACGGUCCGGCGAGUUGUGCGUACUGGCGAGGUUAAGGACUUAAGGUCUGGAGCCGAAGUGAAAGCAAGCGUUAAGAGCGCGUCAAGUCAGUGGGGGCAGACCCGAAACCGGGUGAUCUAUCCAUGUCCAGGUUGAAGCUGCCGUAAGAGGCAGUGGAGGACCGAACCCACAUCCGUUGAAAAGGGUGGGGAUGAGGUGUGGAUAGCGGAGAAAUUCCAAUCGAACCCGGAGAUAGCUGGUUCUCCUCGAAAUAGCUUUAGGGCUAGCCUCAUGAGAGUCUUAUGGAGGUAGAGCACUGAAUUGCCUAGGGGGCGUCAAAGCUUACCAAAGAAUAUCAAACUCCGAAUGCCAUCAAGAUGAUUCAUGGGAGUCAGACCAUACGAGAUAAGUUGGAUGGUCAAAAGGGAAAGAGCCCAGACCUACAGCUAAGGUCCCAAAGUACGUGUUAAGUGGAAAAGGAUGUGGGGAUUCUAAGACAACUAGGACGUUGGCUCAGAAGCAGCCAUUCAUUCAAAGAGUGCGUAAUAGCUCACUAGUCGAGAGUCCCUGCGCCGAAAAUGUCCGGGGCUGAAACACGACACCGAAGCUUAGGAAUGUGUAAACAUUGGUAGAGGAGCAUUGUUAGCGGGAUGAAGCCAUACCGUAAGGAGUGGUGGACUGCUAAGAAGAGAGAAUGCCGGAAUGAGUAGCGAGAUGAAGGUGAGAAUCCUUCAGGCCGAAUAUCUAAGGUUUCCAGAGUAAAGCUGAUCUGCUCUGGGUAAGUCGGGACCUAAGGCGAGGUCGAAAGACGUAGUCGAUGGAUAACAGGUUGAAAUUCCUGUACCGCAUAUAAACAGAACUGUGGGGACACAGACAGGGAAUGGAAUCCGGGAAUGGAUAUCCCGGUGCAAGCGAGGUAGGAGUGCUGUUGGCAAAUCCGCAGCACGAUCUGAAGACGUGACGCGUACCGAACAUAAGUAGGGAAGUCCAGGCCCCUGGCUGUCAAGAAAAGCCGCUAUCGUUUUAUAUGUGCCCGUACCGCAAACCGACACAGGUGGAUGAGGAGAGAAUCCUAAGGCCGACGGGAGAAGUAUUGUUAAGGAACUCGGCAAAAUGACUCCGUAACUUCGGGAGAAGGAGUGCCAUGAGAGUGGCCGCAGAGAAAUGGCCCAAGCAACUGUUUAGCAAAAACACAGGUCUAUGCAAAACCGCAAGGUGAAGUAUAUGGGCUGACGCCUGCCCGGUGCUGGAAGGUUAAGGGGAGAGGUUAGCGCAAGCGAAGCUUUGAACUUAAGCCCCAGUAAACGGCGGCCGUAACUAUAACGGUCCUAAGGUAGCGAAAUUCCUUGUCGGGUAAGUUCC